rnacentral:lncRNA from 1 species
AAAUUACUCGUAUGGAAAGUAAAUACAUCAUACAUUUAACAUUUAAAACUAGUAUUAAACAGAAUACUUGGGUAUGAAACAGUUAUUAGUUAUAUCGAAAGGUAUGAUUUGUGUCCAAAACCAAACACUUUAUAACUGGUAUUAGAUGGAAUACUCGUAGUAUCAGUCAGUAAGAAGUUACAUAAAAGGAUAUUACUUGUUUCCAAGACAAGUCGAUGCUUUACAUGGUUUAAAGAAUAAUACAAAAGGAGUAGAAAAUUGAUUCGAGGUAUCUUGCUUAAAUUAUUCACUUUUUUUGAAUAUGAAUGAAAUUUGAAGAAAUAUGGAAAUACAAAUUAAUAUUUAAAAGGUGCAAGAGGUGAUGGCGGAAGGUUAAAGUUGGAUAGCUGUUGUUUAAUAGUGCUUGAUCAUUCUGUACACCAUCAGAAAAGAUACACUGAAAAUGAUUUCAGAAAAACACUUUCAAUCAGCGUUUUGCACGAGAAAAUAUUUAAAUUAGAUCUUUUCAGCUAUUUUUGUUACGCCUACAACAUUUCAAUAUUCGGAUGGUUCAAAAUACUUGACAGGUUUGAUAUUUUAGAAGCUAGGAUUUAUACCAUAAUAAAAACAGCUCAAGCGGGAAACCCACUGUACCCGAUCUUCGCAUGUUGACAAAACGAUUACAAAGUCCCGGGCAAGAAGUUUCAGCAAGUCUGCCAUUUUCCGUUAAAAUAUUUCACUUCCUGACUCGGAGGAAUUACGUGAUCCGAUAUUAACCAAAUUAGUGGAAUACGCAACUUCAUUGGAUUUUAUAUUUUGGAGGCACUUGACGGAUUUUGGAGUUAGUCCUAGACGGCUGUGAAAGAAGUUACAUUUUGGCUGUCAACUUGGGAGUUAUAAGUUUUUUACUUUGAAUGAUAUUACAAUAUUCAAUGCUAUAGAUUAUUUUAUAUUACAUUGGCAAUGACAUCAGUUACAAACAUGUUGUGUACAAAGUGGAUAGUUAGACUAAAUUACCUUCUGAUACUGAUCUUCCUUAUUCUGACGCUGUAUGCUGAAGCAACAAACGGAGUAUGUCGCAGGGGAAGGACCCCAACAACUACACCAGCACCGACAGAGUCAACGACAACACCAGCACCAUAGAACCGUUAUUCAAACUCAAAAUGUUUCUUAACUAUCCUUGAUAGAUGAAUCUUAAUAUGGAGAAAGUAAAAGAACUUCAUGGAUAAAAAAGACAUUUCGUCAAUAACAGGGUAAAAGAAACGAGUUAAAAAUAGUAAAGAAAUUACCGCUUUCUUUCCAGUUGGAUGGGAAUUUCUUGCUAACGAACACAUGUGAUCACAUGUGGUUUAAUAUUUUAUUAAAUGACGUAUGAAUAAAAGUGUAAACUCGUAAGAAGUUUUGCCAUAAUAUGGAUCUAGUGACAAUUUUGAUUUUCAUAUUGUAAAAGGCUGACUGAAGAACUAGGAAUUCAACCGAAAGGCUAUUUUAUUUUAUGCUGUCGGAAACAUUACUACGAUAUAACUGAAAAUAUAUUUGAUAAUUUCACAGUGAAAAAUGUCAAAUAUAAUUAUAUUUUCACCGUACUCCAGCUGGGACUACUUCGGAUAAUUUCCUCUUAGAGUGCCUCCAACAAUGUCAUUAAACUCCGACAUAUAGAGUAGUUUUAAGCAUACAAAACAAAUUCAUAUAGAAGCCAAGUUCUAGCUUCCGCCUCACUAUGCAUCAUUUAUAAACAGAAACAAAAAAUAGUACCAUUAAGUAUUAUUUGGACUUUCUAGUAGUUGUAUCUGAUAACAUAGUUAAUGUGUCUUUUCUUUUACCCGUCUUGUACUAUUUGAAGAUUAUUGGGCAUAUUUGUGUACAGCCCAGCAAAAACUGCCAAUUGCAAAAUCAUUAUACUGCCAGGGCGGUAAAGAAAUAUCCUAGUGUUUUCUCAUUCAGUACACGUGCCGGCAGCAGCUGACCGAUUUCGACUACACUUUGAAUGAAACAUUAUCCGCUAUGCCUUUGUCAGUAGGAACAAUAGCACUUUACCCUUGACAUGAAUUAAAAUAAAUCCAGUGCUUGUUCCCGAAAUGAUACUUUUCUUCGAUUCGCAUAGUUUUCCAUAAUGUCGGACGUAUCAAUAACAGUAUGACAUAUGGACAUUACUCCGCUGUAAUGUUUUUAAACAUACGUUGCGAUGGUUCAAAUAAUUGUCAUAUGAAACAUAAGAUAAUUUUAUCCAGGUUUUUCUUGGUAGAAAAUAUUCUUGACAAAAUUAUACAUUGAUUUCGGAAUAUACUUUUGGCAUACUAUAAAUUUGUGCGUAUUGAGCUUCCAGUAAGGGACAUUAAAGCGGACAAAAUGAAAAGUGCCAGGGUUUUGUCUCUUUUUUUUUGUCGCAGAAAAAAAAACAACAUAAAAUAAAAUGAAAAUUUGUUUGUUUUUAGUAUAAGAUGAAUUUCAUUUCACCUCGUGAGCCUUCAAACAUAGACUUCUUACUCGUGGCUACUCGAAAAAUAUUACUAUUCGAAGCUAACUCGAAUGCAAUAGAAUUACAUCACACACACACACACACACACACACACACACACACA